rnacentral:pre_miRNA from 1 species
AGUUUACAGUAAAAUAAAUAUUUAAGUGGAGCCUGCGACUCCUUCCCUUCCCUUCCCUUCCCUUCCCUUCCCUUCCCUUCGCUAAGGGUAAGUCACUUGAGCGUUUGUUGGCACGUAAAAG